ACUGAGUAUUUUGAGGGCUGGGGUACUGGGGGAUGUGUUAGCCUGGUGAUGAGUAUUAAGGAGAACAUGUAUUGCAUGGCGCACUGAGUGUGCUGCAUAAACACUGAAUCUUGGAACACUG